rnacentral:rRNA from 1 species
AUUGAACGCUGGCGGCAGGCCUAACACAUGCAAGUCGAACGCGUGACGGACGGGUGCGUAAUGUCUGUGAACCUGCCCGAUGGAGAGGGAUAACUACUGGACACGGUAGCUAAUACCGCAUACCCUCGUAUGUGCCCAGAUGGGAGUAGCUAUUAGGUGGGGUAACAGCUCACCUAGGCCACGAUCCCUCGCGGGUCUGAGAGGAUGACCAGCCACCCUGGGACGUAGAAACGGUCCAGACUCCUACGGGAGGCAGCAGUGGGGAAUAUUGCACAAUGGGCGCAAGCCUGAUGCAGCCAUGCCGCGUGUAUGAAGAAGGCCUUCGGGUUGUAAAGUACUUUCAGCGGGGAGGCGUUACUCGCAGAAGAAGCACCGGCUAACUCCGUGCCAGCAGCCGCGGUAAUAC